GUAAUUAGCAAGGUUAGCUUAGCUCGCUUACUUCUCAACCGGCGAACGAAAGUUUGGUAGUUUGUCCGACGUGAUACUGCGACGCCGUUAGCUGCUGUGGAUCCACUGCGGAGGAAGCUACUGCUAACUAACGUGUCAAGGCCAAAUGAGGUGGAGGCUCUGCUUUGUUCACACUCCUCUCCUGAACAAAUGAGAUAACAGCGACGAAACCAACACGAUUCAGCGCUCAGGAUUUCACCUUCAAGGGCCGCUGCAAGCAUCCAAAUAUUC